rnacentral:rRNA from 1 species
UGCCUCAUGUAAAUAGAUAAGAGGUCCAUCCUGCCCAGUGACCUACGGGUUAAACGGCCGCGGUACCCUGACCGUGCUAAGGUAGCGUGAUAAAUCGCCCUUUAAUUGUGGGCUUGUAUGAAAGGACAAACGAAAGCUAUACUGUCUCUAGGUAAAACAUUGAAAUUGUUCUUCAGGUGAAGAAACCUGAAUAAAAUCAAAGGACAAGAAGACCCCGUAGAGCUUAAUACUUCCAAAUCUACAAAAAUAAAUUAAAUAUAUUAUUUUUAUUCAUCACUAAGUAUUUAGCUGGGGCGGCUAAGGAAAAUAAAUCUUCCAUCUAAAAUAUAAUAGAUUUUCUAAUCAAAACAAUAAUUGACCCUUACUAAGAUCAGAGAAUACAGCUACCUCGGGGAUAACAGAUUAAUUCUUCUUGAGAGUUCGCAUUGACAGAAGAGAUUGACACCUCGAUGUUGGCUUAGGGUAUCCUAUAGAUCAGCAGCAGUCUAUAAUGGUAGGUUUGUUCAACCUUUAAAACCCU